UACGUAGGGUGCAAGCGUUAAUCGGAAUUACUGGGCGUAAAGCGUGCGCAGGCGGUUAUGCAAGACAGAUGUGAAAUCCCCGGGCUCAACCUGGGAACUGCAUUUGUGACUGCAUGGCUAGAGUACGGUAGAGGGGGAUGGAAUUCCGCGUGUAGCAGUGAAAUGCGUAGAGAUCCGGAGGAACACCAGUGGCGAAAGCGGCCACCUGGACUGCACCUGACGCUGAAACGCGAAAGCUAGGGGAGCGAACGGG
rnacentral:rRNA from 1 species